rnacentral:tRNA from 1 species
AAGACUAUAGUAUAAAAAGUACAUCUUGUUUACACCAAGAAAGUCUCCACUUUAGGGAGUAGUCUUU